rnacentral:rRNA from 1 species
CCUACGGGUGGCAGCAGUGGGGAAUAUUGCACAAUGGGGGAAACCCUGAUGCAGCGACGCCGCGUGAACGAUGACGUAUUUCUGUGUGUUAAGCUCUAUCAGCAGGGGAGAAAAUGACGAUACCUGACUCAGAAUCCACGGCUAACUACGUGCCGGCAGCCUCGAUACUACGUCGGUGGCCAUCGUUAUACGGAUUUAGUGGGUUUAAAGGGGACGUAGUCGGCGGUGCAAGCUAGAUGGUAAACCCCGGGGCUCAACAUCGGGACUGCAUUUGGAACUGUGCUGCUAGAGUGUAGGAGAGGUAGGCGGAAUGUCUGGUGUAGCGGUGAAAUGCGUAGAGAUCAGGCGGAACACCAGUGGCGAAGGCGGCCUGCUGGACGAUGACUGACGUUGAGGCACGAAAGCGUGGGGAGCAAACAGGAUUAGAUACCCCUGUAGUC